rnacentral:rRNA from 1 species
AUACGUAGGUGACAAGCGUUAUCCGGAUUUACUGGGCGUAAAGGGCGUGUAGGCGGUCUUGCAAGUCAGAAGUGAAAUUCCUGAGCUCAACUCGGGCGCUGCUUCUGAAACUGCAGGACUUGAGUGCUGGAGGGGAUAGCGGAAUUCCUAGUGGAGCGGUAAAAUGCGCAGAUAUUAGGAAGAACACCGGUGGCGAAGGCGGCUAUCUGGACAGUAGCUGACGCGGAGGCGCGAAAGCGUGGGGAGCAAACAGGAUUAGAUACCCCGGUAGUCCACGCCGUAAACGAUGAAUACUAGGUGUAGGGGGUAUCGACUCCCUCUGUGCCGCAGUUAACACAAUAAGUAUUCCGCCUGGGGAGUACGGCCGCAAGGUUGAAACUCAAAGGAAUUGACGGGG